rnacentral:rRNA from 1 species
CUGAAGCCUGGUGCUUGCACCGGGUGGAUGAGUGGCGAACGGGUGAGUAACACGUGAGUAACCUGCCCCUGACUUCGGGAUAAGCCCGGGAAACUGGGUCUAAUACCGGAUACGACUGCCGGACGCAUGUCUGGUGGUGGAAAGUUUUUUCGGUUGGGGAUGGGCUCGCGGCCUAUCAGUUUGUUGGUGAGGUAAUGGCUCACCAAGACGACGACGGGUAGCCGGCCUGAGAGGGCGACCGGCCACACUGGGACUGAGACACGGCCCAGACUCCUACGGGAGGCAGCAGUGGGGAAUAUUGCACAAUGGGGGAAACCCUGAUGCAGCGACGCAGCGUGCGGGAUGACGGCCUUCGGGUUGUAAACCGCUUUCAGCAGGGAAGAAGCGCAAGUGACGGUACCUGCAGAAGAAGUACCGGCUAACUACGUGCCAGCAGCCGCGGUAAUACGUAGGGUACGAGCGUUGUCCGGAAUUAUUGGGCGUAAAGAGCUCGUAGGUGGUUGGUCACGUCUGCUGUGGAAACGCAACGCUUAACGUUGCGCGUGCAGUGGGUACGGGCUGACUAGAGUGCAGUAGGGGAGUCUGGAAUUCCUGGUGUAGCGGUGAAAUGCGCAGAUAUCAGGAGGAACACCGGUGGCGAAGGCGGGACUCUGGGCUGUAACUGACACUGAGGAGCGAAAGCAUGGGGAGCGAACAGGAUUAGAUACCCUGGUAGUCCAUGCCGUAAACGUUGGGCACUAGGUGUGGGGGGCAUUCCACGUUCUCCGCGCCGUAGCUAACGCAUUAAGUGCCCCGCCUGGGGAGUACGGUCGCAAGGCUAAAACUCAAAGGAAUUGACGGGGGCCCGCACAAGCGGCGGAGCAUGCGGAUUAAUUCGAUGCAACGCGAAGAACCUUACCAAGGCUUGACAUACACCGGACCGUCCUGGAAACAGGUCCUCUUCUUUGAAGCUGGUGUACAGGUGGUUGCAUGGUUGUCGUCAGCUCGUGUCGUGAGAUGGUUGGGGUUAAGUCCCGCAACGAGCGCAACCCUCGUUCUAUGUUG